GAUGAAGAACGUAGCGAACUGCGAUAAGUAAUGUGAAUUGCAGAAUUCAGUGAAUCAUCGAGUCUUUGAACGCACAUUGCGCCCCCUGGCAUUCCGGGGGGCAUGCCUGUCCGAGCGUCAUUGCUGCCCAUCAAGCCCGGCUUGUGUGUUGGGUCGUCGUCCCCCCCGGGGGACGGGCCCGAAAGGCAGCGGCGGCACCGUGUCCGGUCCUCGAGCGUAUGGGGCUUUGUCACCCGCUCGAUUAGGGCCGGCCGGGCGCCAGCCGACGUCUCCAACCAUUUUCUUCAGGUUGACCUCGGAUCAGGUAGGGAUACCCGCUGAACUUAAGCAUAUCAAUAAGCGGAGGA
rnacentral:misc_RNA from 1 species